CUGACGAGUGGCGGACGGGUGAGUAAUGUCUGGGAAACUGCCUGAUGGAGGGGGAGUAACUACUGGAAACGGUAGCUAAUACCGCAUAACGUCGCAAGACCAAAGAGGGGGACCUUCGGGCCUCUUGCCAUCGGAUGUGCCCAGAUGGGAUUAGCUAGUAGGUGGGGUAACGGCUCACCUAGGCGACGAUCCCUAGCUGGUCUGAGAGGAAGGUCCCCCACAUUGGAACUGAGACACGGUCCAAACUCCUACGGGAGGCAGCAUG
rnacentral:rRNA from 1 species